rnacentral:rRNA from 1 species
AUUGAACGCUGGCGGCAGGCUUAACACAUGCAAGUCGAGCGAGCGGCGGACGGGUGAGUAAUGUAUGGGGAUCUGCCUGAUGGCGGGGGAUAACUACUGGAAACGGUAGCUAAUACCGCAUACCAUCAGAUGAACCCAUAUGGGAUUAGCUAGUAGGUGAGGUAACGGCUUACCUAGGCGACGAUCCCUAGCUGGUCUGAGAGGAUGAUCAGCCACACUGGGAUGGAGAAACGGCCCAGACUCCGACGGGAGGCAGCAGUGGGGAAUAUGGCACAAUGGGCGCAAGCCUGAUGCAGCCAUGCCGCGUGUAUGAAGAAGGCCUUCGGGUUGUAAAGUACUUUCAGUCGGGAGGCGUUACCGACAGAAGAAGCACCGGCUAACUCCGUGCCAGCAGCCGCGGUAAGAC